rnacentral:rRNA from 1 species
GUGUCAGCCGCCGCGGUAAUACGAAGGGGGCUAGCGUUGCUCGGAAUUACUGGGCGUAAAGCGCACGUAGGCGGAUUGUUAAGUCGGGGGUGAAAUCCUGGAGCUCAACUCCAGAACUGCCUUCGAUACUGGCGAUCUCGAGUUCGGGAGAGGUGAGUGGAACUGCGAGUGUAGAGGUGAAAUUCGUAGAUAUUCGCAAGAACACCAGUGGCGAAGGCGGCUCACUGGCCCGAUACUGACGCUGAGGUGCGAAAGCGUGGGGAGCAAACAGGAUUAGAAACCCCCGUAGUCC